UUCUUUUUUUUUUUUUUUUUCCCUUUUUUCCUUUUUUUUUUUUUUUUUUUUUUUUUUUUCUGCCGGGGAGGGGGAAGACGAGGAGUCGAGCCCCAGCCCGGGAGGAACGGGGUGUUUGGAAGAUGUUGCGAGCCAUUGACCGGAGCGUUUGAAGGGGUGAUCGGCUGCUUUGGCUUUUUUUUUCUUUUUUUUUUUUUUCUUUUUUUUCCUCCCCUCCCCCCUCCCCCACCUCUCCGGAGGGGUAGGGAUGUGUGAUCAGGGAGUGGAAACAAAUAUGUCCUUAUUUUCAAUGCCCCCUUUGAAAGAGACAAAGUAAACGCUCCUUGCAAAAUGUUCCUGACCUGCGAAGGGACCUUCGGAAUUGUUCCAGCCACCAUGGAUUACAAUGGGGAAGCCAGGCCGGGGGAUUUUCAUGCCGGCUAUCAAGAAAUCGAAGGGAUAAACUUGGGAUACUUACAGAUCAAUGGCACCCAGAUGUUUGCCUUGGCCCAGGUCCUCAGCGACCUGUUUAAGGAUAUCCCCAGGACCACCAUCAGCAAGAAGAUGGAAACCUUAAAGAUCAAGAGCCGACGCUGCGAUCUCAAGGAGCUCCGGACCCUCAAAGCCAUCCACUCGGUGCCCACCCGCGCGGUGAAAUGCUCGCUCAUAUCCAAGGCGGACCUGGAGGCUCUCUGCACCUCCUGCAAGAGCCUCAGCCCCAGGAGGAGGAAGAGGAAAAGGAAGAGCAAGCGGAGGGAGCAGCUGCUGCUGCCGGACCCCGGGGAGCUCUUCGCCUGCCCCCGGCCCCAGCUGCUGCCGCCCUGCCGAGCCGGCGCCUGCUGCGCGCCCCCGGCCCCCGGGCGCCCCAAGCUGCCCCCGGCCUUGGCCAAAGCGCGCUCGGCGCCGGCGGCGCUGCUCCCGCAGCCGUUCCACCACCGGCCCUUCCCCGGCCUCGAGAGGGCCCCCCGGGGCCGCCGGGGCUGCGGGCUCCCGGAGCGCGCCGGGCUCUUCGGCGGCGUGCUGGGCGCCUACCCCCGCGACCUGGCGCUGCUGCACCCCGCGGCCGCGCACCCCGCCGCGCACCCCGCGGCGCUCGCCGAGCCGGGCCGGCGUAAGCGGGGUCCCUGCUGCGCCAAGGGGCUCUUCCCGGCCGAGAAGGGUCCCGGGGGCGCAAGGAAAGGCCGCUCGUCCGCUUUCCCCGGCUCCAAGCGGCAGGGCACCUCCGCCGGCUACUCCAGCGACUCGGACUCCAGCCUGGACUUCGGCGGGUCCAGCCCCGCCACCUCCAGCGACUCGUCGGAGGAGGAGGAGGAGGAGGAAGAGGAGGAGGAGGAGGAAGGGGACACGUCGUGCAGCAGCGAGGAGGGCAGCUCCUCGGAGUCGGAGAGCAGCUCGCUGUGCAGCGGGGACUCGGUGCAGAGCACCCGGUACAGGCAGGCGGCUCUGCCCCGCUUCCAGCCGCAGCCCCCCCGGGAGCCCCUCGGCGACGAGCGCCCCGCGGAGCCCCCCCCGGGCUCGGGCAAGGCGCUGCGCCCCGACCCCGACCUCCUCUUCCUCUCGCAGCAGCUCUGGGCCAGGACUUUGCGAGCAUCAACUUCGGAAAGUUUGAGCCCGGCUCCAGCCCUGGGCUCGGGGGCCCAGCCGCAGCCGGAGCUGUACGCAAAGCAGGAGGCCUCCCCUUCCUCCUCCUCCUCUUCCUCCUCCUCUUCCUCCUCCUCCUCCUCUUCCUCCUCCUCCUCUCCCCCUCCCUCCCCGAGCAGCACCCCUGGGGGGGACCCGCAACAAAAGGAGGGCGGCUUUGGGGACGCAGAGCCCUGCGCCAAAGGGAAGGAUUUGCACAAAGAUGCCUCGAACAAUAGAGCCUCGUUAGGCCCCAGUGACCAAGCAGAGAGGCAGAGCGAAGCUUUAGCCGGCCGAGCGGCUUCCCAAGAGCCGGCCCCGGGCUCGGCCCCGCAGCCCCCGGCCCCGGAGCUGGCGGGGAGCCUCGGCCCGGCGCCCCCCGGGGAAGCGGGGGAGCCCCGGCGGGAGCACUUUGACAGGCUCAUCCGGCAGUCCAAGCUGUGGUGUUACGCCAAGGGGUUCAACGUGGACGGGAAAAGUUUGCGCCACGGAGGGAGGACGGAGCCCUGCAAAGCUGCAGAGCUCAAAUCCCCCGGCUCCAAAAGAGCAGAGAGCCCCAGCACCUUGUCAAACAAAGCUUUGAAAGGCAAUGGCUCGGAAAGGAAUGCCAAGCGCAGACGCCUUGCCAGAGGCGCUGAGGCAGAAAGGCAACAGAGCUCCUCUAAAGGGAGGCCACAAAAGACUCAAAGGAGGAAUGCCAAAAAGGGAAACACUCAUUGCAAACGCCUCGGCAGCGCCGGGCCAACCCCGCCUCGGAAUUCCUUCAGCCUCAUGGGCAACUUCCCCUGUAUUCCCUCCCUGGUCGUGGGGGAAGAUGGGGACCUGUGUCCUGCCUCCUCCCUGGGGGUCAAAAACUCCUGGGCCCUCUCCAAAACUCACCCGCUGUGGAGCUGGCACCUGGGGGGCAACGCCAUCCCGGUGCCCCCCAGCCUCAAAUUCCGGGGCUAUAGCUUGGAGGAUCUCUAAGGACCGCGGACGGCCCGGAGGAAAGGUUUACACGCAACAGAUGCGAGCCGCAGGGCGGGCGGGGGCCGGGGCCGGGGCCGGGCGGGGGGCGCGGGGCCGGGUGGGGGUCGCGGGGCCUCCCCGAGAUGCUGAGCCCCGGGGGCGGCCGGGCCGGGCUCUGCCGGCGAGGGGGGCCCGGGGCGGGUGCGGGGCCGUGAGCGGGUGCGGGGGCCGGGCGGGGGCUCCCCGCUCGGGCUGGGGCUGAGGUUUCGGUCCCCCCCGUGCGCCGGUUUCACGAUGCUGGAAGGAGCACUCGGACCGGGGGGCGCCGACCCCUCGCCCCCGGGCUCUCCGCUUUUGUCCCAGCGCCGAGCUUGGGGCGGGGGCGCGGCGCCAGGUGGGGGCGCGGGGGGGUCCCCCCGGGCCGAGCUCGCCCCGGCCGGCAGCGUCGCCCCUUCCCCGCCCUGGCCGCGCUCCGCUCCCCACCCCCGGAAGCCAAAAACCGCUGAAACGAGGAAAGAAUAGAGCCGAUUUCUCCCUUUGCCUCCAUAAAUGCAGUGGAUUAAAGUAAUAAUAAUCACACGCAGAGAGAAAUAAUGAUGUCAUGCAGCAUAAACACUCCUUUUCGGCCCGAGUCAAUCCCGGCGAAAUUGGGAGCAGCUAUUGCAAAUAACUAUAUUAAUAGCAAUGUAAUGUUUUCUGUCUACUUACGAGACAGGAAGAAAACACAAACUUUAAAAAGACCAGGAAAUUCUGUUUGCUAAAAGAAAACAGGAGGCUUUGAGAGGAAGUUAUCUGAAACUGCUGCAUGUAUAUUAAAAAAAAAAAAAAAAAGUGGGUUGUUUGCUGGAUAAUAACCCUAACUGCGCUAGCCUAAAGGUAGCAGGCCUGUAAAAGCUUUACGGGCACAAGAAAUAGGAUCCAGGAGCAUUAGCAAUAGAGUACAGAUGGACAAUUUGAUCUCUCCCGAGCUCCGAAGUGGAAUGUGGGGAAGAAUGUGGGGGGAAUGUCUCUCCUCUCUGCAGAGGAAAUCAUAUCCCAGUUUAACUUUUCUUGCAAACCACUGUCUUUGUAACUGGCUCUUUUGACUAUUUCUGAUGUGAUUUCCACCCCGCUUUGGCAUCAAAGCCCGCCGGGCCCUCUGAAGCCUGCUCGUUCCGGAGACGUUAGGCAAACCAAAGCUGCUGCGGCUCGGGGGAGCGGGGGUGGGUUUUCCCCCUUCUUUUCAACGGAAAAUGUUCGCAGCUCGCGGCCGGGCGGGCGCGGCCGGGAUCCCGCAGCGCGUUUCGGCCCGGCCCGGGGCCGCCGUUCCCUCCCCCGCUGCCCCCCUCCCGCUGGGAGCAAUCCCCCGGCCCUCCGCAGCGGCCUCCUCGUCCCACGGAAAGGGAAGGGAGAGGGAAGGGGAAGGGAAAUCAUCGCAGGAUUCAAAGAAAAUAUUCCCGUCUGCCACGGCUGAUUUUGAUUUUUUUGGUUUAAUUCCACCAGCGGGUAAAAAAAAUGGCAUUUUUAAGGUCAAACGUAUUUUGUAUCUAUUAAGCGAUGUUUUUCUUGGAGCUGGUGAAUUGUUGCUAAAAGCGGUGUUUGUUUGACUUGGGUUUGCAGCGGGUUUUUGGUUAACUGCGGUUUUUGUUGACUUCAGCCCGCCGCCCGGAGCAGCGGCGGGGCCGAAAUCGCCGCGGCCCGGGGCCGGGCAGGCUUCGGCCGCAGCCGCGGGGGGGUCCCCGGUGUCCCCGAGAGCUUUCGGGGAGCACCGGGCCCGAGCCGAGCCGGGCCGAGCCGAGCCGAGCCCGUCGCCUUCCAGCCCGGCCCGCGCUAGCACCGCGUGUGCCGGGAGAAACGAAAGGGACGCGGGGCCGGGGCGGCGGUGCGGGGCCGUGCGGGGCCGUGCGGGGCCGUGCCCGCGGGAGGAGCCGCACAAAGGCGGCGCGGGGCUGCGGGCUGCAAAGCCCCGGCCCCAGCUCUCCGCGCCGCCGGCGAGCGCGCAGGAAUUACCGAGCAAAAAGCGAAGAGCAAAAAAAAAAAAAAAAGCAAAAAAAAUAAAUAAAAAAAUGCAAAAAGCGAAAAGCAAAAAAUAAAAGGCAAAAAGCGAAAAGCAAAAAGCAAAAUUCGAAAACCAAAUGCAAAAAGCGAAAAGCAAAAUGCAAAAAGCGAAAAGCAAAAAGCAAAACGCAGCCGCAACCGGAAUCCGCAGCUCCGGCUGCCGCGGGCAGGGGCGCGCAAAGAACUCAGGAAUUUCUCUGCGGGAUGAAAUCACCUCAAGCCGCGCGGGGCAGCGGCAGCAGCCACCACCCCGGGCGCAGGCCCACGGACAUUUCUCUCCGUGGAUGUGUGCAUUUGUACACGGGGGUGCGUGGGAGCCCGGCUGGUAACACACGGCCUGUGCGUGCACGGUGCACGUACACAUUUCUCUGCUCGCACACGUAAGUACGAGCGUGUGUAGCUGUGUACAUCUGUAUAUAAUGCAAGGGGGUUGUAGCAGGGCUGUGAAUACAAUACAAAGAUACCUCAAAACUUUCCACACAAACACACCUUGAAUGGCUCCUCAAGCAGCAGAAACAUCCGGUUCACAGCAGAAAUUAACAAUAAUAAUUCCCCCUGUUUGUUUCUAAAUGUUUCAAAGAAAUUGAGCGAUCCAUAAAAAUAAUCUUCCCAGCAAUCCCCCAGUAAGAGGCUGGAGAGGGGAGUGGCAAUGCAUCGAAAGUAAACUGAAAAAAAAAAAAAAAAAAAAAGGAAACAAAAAAAAAAAAAGGAAAACCCAAAUUGUUACCUGAAAUAGCCUGGUUUGGACUUCAAAAAUGAGAAGCCCGAGCAGUAGUUUGUUGGAAGAAGCAAUACCUCUGUACAAAACAAUGAGCCAGGAGAAGGGGACGCUUUGAGUGUAACAAACGAGUUCUGGUUUUGAGCAAAAAUUCAACUUGCAUUGCCAGGACGGUAUAAAGGGUAUAAAGGCACCUUUAUAGUGACGUUAGUGAGAUUGCUUUAUUUCCAAACGGGUGCAAGAGAAACAAAACCUGUUUUUUUUUUUUUAUUAUUUUUUAUUUUUGUUUCAUAAAAAAUGUUUGUCUAGUUAGGAGAAAACGGAAAGUAUCUUCUUGUAAAAAAUAAAGAAAACUUUUAUAAAGGGUGCUGCUUUUAAAAAUGCAGCAAGCUUUAGACUCAGGAAAAUCUCAGCUUGGAUACGGUGUGGUGCUUUGUAAUCACGGUUUGUAAGGGUUUUUUUUUUUAGGGGCUGGGGGUUUCAGGGACCUUUGCUCUUGCUUUGCGUUGCUGGAUUAAAAACUCACAUCCCUCCGUCCCCGUCCAGUGGGUUUAAAAAUGUCAUGUCAUGGGUGCUUCUCCUCUGGGCCCCGGCUCCAGGGCUGAUUUCUUUGUGGGGUUGCUGCGAGUGGGGCGCGGAGCCGGUCCCCUUCCACGGGUCCCCGCUGGCAUCAGGCCCCAGGGGGCUGCGAGCCCCCAGCCCAGGCUGGGCACAUCCAGCUGCCGCCACCGCCUUUCCCUGCGCCCCGGCCUGGAACACGUGUCCAAAACGUCCGCCGCGGGGAGGAGAGAGCUGUCGCCUUUUCCAGCCUUGUCUUGGGUUUUCUGUUUAGAUUUCCUGUACCUUUAUUUAUUUGAAGUUGUUGUAAGUAUAUGACGAUGAAAGUGUUAAUUCCUGCGUGCAAUAUGGAAUCUAGGCUGAGAAAUAAAUACGUUUUUUACAGAACCGCCUGCCACUCGGCCCUGUUUGUGCGUGUGUGCGUGCAAGGGGGCGGGUGGGUGGCCGGCGCGUGCCCACGUGUGCGGGAGCUGGGGGUGAGAUCUCGCUCUGGGGGGGCCGUGUGCUUGCACACCCGGGGUGCACAUGUGUGUGUGUGUGUGUGUGUGUGUGUGUGUGUGCUCGUGCACGUGUGUGCACCCACGGAGGGUGGGCGCCUUGCGGAGGGCGCGCGUGCCGCUGCUCUAUUUAUAGCCGUGGCCGUGUGGCCGUGCACAUCUGGCUGCGUGUGUUUAUUUACGCGCCCUGCCGAAGCUCACGCCUCCGCACGCCCGCGUGCACGAACCGGCCCCCGGCCUCGCACCCGCGUGGGCUCAGGCACCGGCUGCACGCGGUGCCGUGCGUGUGUCCGCCCUGCGUGCCAGCACGUGGGUGGGUGGGUGGCCUGCACGCACGUGUGCUUGGCUCCGCAGCACGGGGCUCCUCCGGACAAAUUUUGCCCCCACGGAACGUUUUUCCUAAACAUUUAAUCAGAAAUCAAUAGCGACUUCCAUCUAAUUUGUAGGCCAGAGGCGAGGACGCAGGGACCGUUCCCCGUCCGUGUGUUUCUAUUUUGAGGGCCUCAGGAGCUCGUGCCCCUCUCGGAAGGAGCACUUCAGAUUUAUUUUUAAUUCUUUGGCAAAGACAAACGGCUGCGGACUGAGAGGGCUCAUCAGAGCAGGGGUGGUAGGUUUAGACCCAAACACAAGAAGCAGAACAAGGAGGAGCAGCACGAGGGACUUGUACCUGUGCAGCGGUUUGGGAAGGGCCUUGGGGACGUGACCGGGAGGGCAGAGAUGCCAGCCCAGGGAGCAGCGAUCCGGCUCUCUCCAGGGCAGAAAUCUGCCCGAUUAUCUUUCCAAACCGAGAGAAAUGGAAAGAGAAACGAAUGGCACCCCCAGUCAGGACCUCAUUAGUUCUGAUUAAUAACUGUGCAUUAUUCGAUUGCCACAAAACCGUCUCAUGCCUUCGCUUCUGCAGGAGGCCAGGUAAAAACCUUCCCUGCCCUUAAAAAUCUCAGACAUCCAGAUUACACCAGAAAAUGGUUAUGCAAAUCACACGCUCGGCAUUUGAAACCGAUUUGCAGCCUUUCUUCAGUCCCCCUUCUGGCAUGGAGGAAAGGAGGCGAAGUCAAAAUGACUCCCAUUAAAAAACGUAAAAUCCCCAAAGGCGAGGUCCGGAGCCCCCAGCCCCGACAGAACUGUGGGAGCAACGCGGGGCAGGACGCAAAGGGGAGCCUGCGGUGGCCUAAUCACAGCCAAUGACCCUGCUAUUAUUAUUAUUAUCUGUUAAAGAAGGUAAUUUAACAACAACGUUAAUUAUCUGCUGGGACCAGCACAGGCCUUGCUGGGGAGUGGGCUCUGAGGGGAGCUGAGUCCCCACUUUUGGGGCUCUUCCAUGCCCAAAAGCUGCAGGAGAAAACCCGUGGGCACGGAGCAAGGUGCUGGGGGGCACCGGGGGGGCGCGGCAUUUAUUUAGUUUAGUGUCAGGGUGUUAAUGAUGAAUUAGAUAGCAGAGGAGGGGCUCGGUAAAGCAGCAAGCUGUGAGAAAAAAAGCAGCGCCCCCCUCCCCGGGCGGGCUGGGGGCAGGGGGGAGCUGGGGGGGGUGAGGGAUUAAGUGUCACCGAAGGCCUUUCAUUUACCGUGUUUACAUGGAGUCAAUAGAAGGGAAUGGACAAGGGUUUAUUGUGAGUUAUGAGGCUCUUUCUAACUCCCGUGUUAUCAAUAUCUCCCUCUUAAAAAAAAAAAAAUGCAAAAAAUGAGUUUGCUUUUUGAAAAAACAACAAAAAAACAAAACAAACAAACAAAAAAAAAAAACAAAAAAACACCAACACAAAAUUCUCUGCAAACCUUUCUGGAAGGUGGGAGCCUCCCCACCCAGCCCACAAAGCGCUUCGCGGGAUCCUUCAGCUGUUCCAUAUAAAUCUACGGGCUCAAUAGGUGGAGUUUAUGCUUUUAGCAAUUGAAAGAAAUUGCCCUAAAUGAGGCCAUAUGGGAAACUGUGCUCAUCCUCCCCCUUCCCCAAAACCGGGGGAGGAUUCCUCCUGCCCUUUGUCAGAAAGGGAGCUUCUGGGGCUGGAUCUGGCUGCUCGGGGCUGCAGUGCGCUCCCCCAGCUGGGGGGCACAGAGCGGCCGAGGGGGGCGAGGAGCUCUGGGGCUGGGGCUGGGGUCCCUGCUCGGGGUCCUGGGGGUUUGAGCGGGCUGGGGGGGCCCCACAGGGCUGCCCCCUUUCAGGGCUGGGCAGUGUGGGCACCCUGCACCCCGACAGCCCCUCGGCGUCGUGCCCUGCUCCGGCUCCUCCACGCACGGGGCCUCGUGUGCCGGGCUGGUUCCUUCCUCCCCAGCUUUUUCCUCCCAGUUUGCAGGCUGGGAUCACGCAGCUCUCCUCAUCAGCUGGAAAUACCAGCAACCGCCCGGGCGACUGCUUGUAAUUAACCAUUCGUUACAGUGGUUAACCCCCCUCCCCAAUAACUGAAGGCGUCGUGUAGGAAACUCGGGAUCCCGCACGAGAGCGGCGUGCCAUAAAAAGGGAGCGACCCGUUGGGAUGUGCUCUGAAAUCGAUCCUCCCCGAGCAGAGUGCGGGGCCCGGGGCGGCGGGGGCCACGUUUCGCUCUGAGGCUGCAACGUGCCGAGGAGCCCCCCCUCGGCUCGUGGGGAAGCUCCGGCUGGUUCUGUGUGCUCCGAGCAUCGCGCACAUGGGCUUGGUGUUGUUUCUCCCCAUGCUGCACGAGCAGAAAACGGCGGUGAGGAGGAAGGGAGGCGAGCCCAGAGGCUGCAUUUCGGGAGCAGGAGGCUCCGAGGACGCACAUGGGAGCAGCUCGGGCCCCUGGGGAACGGAACGACGCCGGUACUGAAUCUUUGCAAAACACUUCCGUGGAGGAG